rnacentral:pre_miRNA from 1 species
AAUAGAUAACGUCGUUGACUUUUUCUCACAUAUUUGACCAUUCGUCUUAUUUAAAAAAUUUAUGUAAUUAUAAUUUAUUUUGUUAUGAGUUGUUUUAUCACUCAUAGUCCUUUAAGUAUGAUUUAUAUCUUAUACAUUUGCAUAAAUUUUUUGAAUAAGACGAAUUGUCAAACAUGUGAGAAAAAUUCAACGGCGUCAUCUAUU